CACCCCAGAAUUCCCUGCCUCCGUGCAUGUUAUGGCACCUUUGGGAUGUGUUAGUCAUAAGAAUGAAGCUACUGGUGCUUUGCAGGGAUAUUUUCACUCUGGCUCUCGCAGGAGAGCUCUGACACAGCCCUGCUGUCGGCACGGCUGGGGCGCCUUUGCUCGCUGGUGCCUCCUGAGAUUCCAGACCGCUCCAAAAAAAAAGGGGGAAACGUCCAAUUUUUAUUUCCUCAGGGAACACCAAGAAAAUUUUUCUUUCCGAGCCUGUCUCCUGAAACGAGCUCCAGGAGUGGUCACAACCUGCCAUAAAAAUGCCAUGUGCAAGAGAAUAUAUUUAAUAUCAGGCAAGCAGAAUGGAACGAUACGAUCUGUUUGGGGUUCGAAGGCAAAGGAGGAUCUGCUCCUUCACCAUCUGUGCAGCCGCUGGCAGGGGCAGCUCCCCAGUGACACCAAAGGAAUUCCCCGAGCCCAAAAACGCCCCAGGCAUCGCCUUUGUGAAGGACAGAACUUCACAAAGUCCAUCCCACUGACGGAUGACAGAGUGAGAUUUCCUGACUGGAGAUGGAUGAAUGAGCCCAACAGUUCCUGGCUUGAGGUGUGAUGUCCCUCCAGAACAGAACAAACCCUGAACUUCCUUCAGAUGAGUGUUUGGAGAUGUUUGAUGUUUGGAAAUGUUUGAUGUUUGGAGAUGUUUGAUGUUUGGACACAGCCCAGCAGCACUGUCUGGCCUCUGGAUGGGUGGCAUAUUUUGGGGAGGAGGUAUUUUGUGAAACCAGGGCUCAGCACGCACUGACAUCUCUCAGGUGGGCUGUCUGAAGUGCAUUUCUACCUGAGAGAACGGAGUCAGGGUGAAAACCAGCCUGGGAGGUCUCCCCAGAACAACUUGCAGCUUGAUUUUCAGGCCCUUCCUCCUUCAACAAGCACCAUGUCCCAGACAAAAUACCUCCAUCAACACCAAGAUCGCUUGGACAAGCCCCUGAACAAGUGGUGUGUACACUUUCAGCUGAUAGCUGAUUCCAGCUCGUUGUUGUCCUCAGAGAACAAGAAAAGAGACAGGAAAGUUGGCCCAAGGUCAAUUCCUGCUCUGGGUAGCGCUGUAAUGCAAUAGGAUUUAUGAAUCUUUAAUUGCAGUUGCUUUGCUAUAAAUGCUUAAUGAAAACACCGUGUCCGAGGCUGUUGGUGAGCAGGGGGGUUACAAGGAGGUUAAAUAACCCCCAGGGCAGGAAUCACAGAGGAUCCAGCUGGAUUCCUCGUGGAUCUGCUCUGGAGAGGGGCUGCCAGGGCUGCAGGGGGUGUGAUGAGGGUGGUGUGACGGAGUGUGAUGUGAGUGUGAUGAGUGUGCAGAAGUUCCAGGGCUGGGCUGCCAUCAGCUCCGAGUGGGAGGGCGGCUGCAUCACUCAGGGUGGCGUUAAUUAAACCUUUAAAGGUCGCUUUACUCCAAGGGGGGCUCGGGGCUCGCUGCCCUGCAGAGCACCCAGGGCUGCUGCCCCUGCUGGGAG
rnacentral:lncRNA from 1 species